CUACGGAGGAUCCAAGCGUUAUCCGGAAUCAUUGGGUUUAAAGGGUCCGUAGGCGGGUUUGUAAGUCAGUGGUGAAAGUUUUCGGCUCAACCGGAAAAUUGCCAUUGAUACUGCAAGUCUUGAAUCAUUAUGAAGUGGUUAGAAUGUGUAGUGUAGCGGUGAAAUGCAUAGAUAUUACACAGAAUACCGAUUGCGAAGGCAGAUCACUAAUAAUGUAUUGACGCUAAGGGACGAAAGCGUGGGUAGCGAACAGGAUUAGAAACCCUAGUAGUCC
rnacentral:rRNA from 1 species